AGAGUUUGAUCCUGGCUCAGGACGAACGCUGGCGGCGUGCCUAAUACAUGCAAGUCGAACGAAGCUUUCUUUCACCGAAUGCUUGCAUUCACCGAAAGAAGCUUAGUGGCGAACGGGUGAGUAACACGUAGGCAACCUGCCCAAAAGAGGGGGAUAACACUUGGAAACAGGUGCUAAUACCGCAUAACCAUGAACACCGCAUGAUGUUCAUGUAAAAGACGGCUUUUGCUGUCACUUUUGGAUGGGCCUGCGGCGUAUUAACUUGUUGGUGGGGUAACGGCCUACCAAGGUGAUGAUACGUAGCCGAACUGAGAGGUUGAUCGGCCACAUUGGGACUGAGACACGGCCCAAACUCCUACGGGAGGCAGCAGUAGGGAAUCUUCCACAAUGGACGAAAGUCUGAUGGAGCAACGCCGCGUGAAUGAAGAAGGCCUUCGGGUCGUAAAAUUCUGUUGUCAGAGAAGAACGUGCGUGAGAGUAACUGUUCACGUAUUGACGGUAUCUGACCAGAAAGCCACGGCUAACUACGUGCCAGCAGCCGCGGUAAUACGUAGGUGGCGAGCGUUGUCCGGAUUUAUUGGGCGUAAAGGGAACGCAGGCGGUCUUUUAAGUCUGAUGUGAAAGCCUUCGGCUUAACCGAAGUAGUGCAUUGGAAACUGGAAGACUUGAGUGCAGAAGAGGAGAGUGGAACUCCAUGUGUAGCGGUGAAAUGCGUAGAUAUAUGGAAGAACACCAGUGGCGAAAGCGGCUCUCUGGUCUGUAACUGACGCUGAGGUUCGAAAGCGUGGGUAGCAAACAGGAUUAGAUACCCUGGUAGUCCACGCCGUAAACGAUGAGUGCUAAGUGUUGGAGGGUUUCCGCCCUUCAGUGCUGCAGCUAACGCAUUAAGCACU
rnacentral:rRNA from 1 species